rnacentral:rRNA from 1 species
UUAACCAUUUAACGGCCGCAGUAUUUUGACUGUGCUAAGGUAGCAUAAUAGUUUGUCUCUUAAUUAGAGUCUAGAAUAAAAGAUCUUAUAAGCUUAAACUUUUUUCUCUUAUUAGAUUAAAUUUAAUUAUUGAGUUAAAAGGCUCAAAUUCACAAAAAAGACGAUAAGACCCUAUAAAACUUAACUACGAAAGAUUUAUAUAGGUAAUUUUAUUACAACCGUUGUAAGUAAAAAGUAAUUUAGUUGGGGCGACUAUAAUUAAACAUUAAACAUUUUAUUACACAAUGAAUAAAAUCAACUAAUUUUUGAUCCUUCAAAGAUUAAUUUAUAAAGUUACUUUAGGGAUAACAGCGUAAUUUUUUUAGAGAGUCCUUAUCGAUAAAAAA